GAGACUACGGGUAUAAUAGGAGCAUCCGUCAACAAUAGGAUCACCCUAAGAUGAUAAUCUCGUGGCUAUUGAGAUCGAAUGAAAUCAGAUGGUUCUAUUUCUUAUUCUUAAUGUUUUCGAUCUUGGUUCCGUAGGAGCAAGUCAUAGAGAUUGAGAAAAAUAGAUAAUUCACAACCACUGAUGAAGGAUUCCUCGAAAAGUUAAGGAUUAUAUAUAUAUAUAUAUAUGGGGUUUGUUAACGUGCGUACGCGUGUUUUUCUACAUUUUAACAAUGUGUACCGGAUUAUAGUAGACAAAAAUACCCUCAUAUAUUAUGAAUUCUAAGUUUUAAAGUCAAGAAUAUUUAAAUAAUUUUCAUUCUCAAAACUAAAAAAUAGAAAGAAACCCCCAAAUCCUUACUCACCUCCCUCAUUCCUCUCAACCCUUUCUUUUUCAUCUCUCUCACUCCAACAUUUUCUCUAUCACCCUAUGGUAGAUCCUGAAAAAAAAUAAUUAGAAAUACUUGUCGUUAAAUAAUUUACCUUUGUAAAGAGUUGAGUCAUUUGCAUAUUCGCCUUCAGGCAAAGGUUCAUUCAAGAUCUCUUCAAUUUCAUCAUCUUCACUAACCUCUCUAAUUUCAUCAUUUGUAUAUGUUGAAUCAUCAUAUCUUAAAAAACCUUCAGGUCAAUUACCAAUUCCUUCUGAUGUCAUCAUGCUUGUGAAAAUUAGAUAAGACAAAAAUUAUAAAAUGAAAACUCAUUAUAAAAUUAUUUUUUGUAAGAAAUUGUUUAAUAGCGAGUGUUUCUGAUUUUUUACAGGCGAAUUACCAAUUCCUUUAUAUGUCUUUAUGCUUGUGAAAAUUAGAUAAAAUUAGAAAAGACAAAAAUUAUAAAAUGAAAACUCAUUAUAAAAUUAUUUUUUUGUAAGAAAUUGCUUAACCGCCAGUGUUUCUGAUUUUUUUUAAUUGGGCUACAGUAGAGAUGACAUAGAAAGGUUGGAGUGAGAGGGAUGAAAGAGAAAGGAUUGAGAGGAAUGAGAGAGGUGAGUAUGGGUUUGGGGGUUUCUUGCUUUUUUUAGUUUUGAGAAUGAAAAUGAUUUAAAUAUCCUUGACUUUAAAACUUCGAAUCCAUAAUGAGAGUAUUUUUGUCUACUAUAAUCCGGUACAUCGUUGAAAUGUACAAACUGAAAAACAGGUGUACACGCGUUAACAAACCCAUA
rnacentral:lncRNA from 1 species